rnacentral:lncRNA from 1 species
AUGGCUAUGACUAGUGUCAAAUUGCAUGCUGGUGUUUUAAGAAAGCCAGAUACCUGGAUUGGACUCUCGGGUGUUCUCUGAGGAACACCUUCAUCACACAAACUCUGUACUUCCUGGAAUCAGUACUUGUAUUUUUCUAGUACCAAGUUACAUGCACCAAAUUAUAAUACACUUUUCUAUAACAUUUUCUCACUGAGACUCCCGGGGCUUUUAAUAUCUCUGGAAUAUUUUUUUCCAUUUUCCAUAAGACUCAAAAGUAAUAUAAGCUCUACAAAAUCUACUAAAAAGUAUCUGCAAAAAAUAGGAGAUGAGGAGGACUCUGAUGCAGAAAGUGAUCAGAACGAGAUGAGUGAGCAGGAAGAGGAGCUUGAGGAUGGCCUUACUAUAGCAAAGACUAUCAAGACCUGGAAACAGUAGUGCGGUCUUUUCAGGAUGACGUUGUCCUGAAGACAAGCCUGGAUAUUGGAAGAAACAAAGUGGAAGAUGCAUUCUGCAAAGGUGAAUUCAGGCUGAAUGGGGAAAAAUUAUGGAAGAAAAGCAGAAUGGUCAAAGUGGGAGAUACAUUGGAUCUUCUCAUUGGAGAGGAUAAGGAAGCAGGAACAGAGACAGUGAUGCAGAUUCUCCCAAAAAAAAGUGUUUGAAGAGAAGGCUGAAAGUGAAAAAUACACAGUGGUAUUACAGCAGUGGAAAAACUUAAAAAUGCCUAAGAAGAGAAUGUCUAAAUAA